AAAAAAUAAAAAAAAAAAUUAAAAAAAAUCAUUUCAGUCACUGUCUUUACCUGCUUUGAAACAUUUAUAUGUUGUUUAAAAAAUCAAAAUGAGGCCUAGAGUGCAGCAAGAUGGCUGCCCCCGUGGAUCUUGAGUUGAAGAAGGCCUUCAUAGAGCUUCAAGCAAAGUUAUCGACACUCAGCAGAAGGUGAAGCUGGCAGACAUACAGAUUGAACAGCUAAACAGAACAAAAAAGCAUGCACAUCUUACAGAGAUCAUGACUUUGGUAGAUGAGACUAACAUGUAUGAAGGUGUAGGAAGAAUGUUUAUUCUUCAGUCCAAGGAAGCAAUUUACAAUCAACUGUUAGAGAAGCAAAAAAAUAGCAGAAGAAAAAAUUAAAGAACUAGAACAGAAAAAGUCCUACCUGGAGUGGAGCGUUAAGGAAGCUGAGGACAACAUCAGGGAGAUGCUGAUGGCACAAAGGGCCCAGUAGGGAGCCUCUCGGGGAAGCUCUUCCUCUUGCCUCUCCCAUUCAUGGUGGGGGCAGAGGAGUCUCUGCAGGGAAACAGCUCCUCCUCUGCCUCAUGGCUGCUUCAUCUGGAUGGCCUGACAACGUCACAUUUUCUGCAUCACCCUGAGCCCCUUUUGCUUCCCAGCCCUGGAGUUUUUACCCUGGCUUUACCUCCCACCUCGGCCCAGGACACUCUUCCCUCUCAGGGUGUGUGAUGAACUCUCAGGAGAGGGAAGAUGGGAGCCAGGGCAGAUAGGAAGCUCUGCCUGAGCUUUCCACUGGGCAUGCCAGCCAGACCAAUAAAAAGUGUCCACUCUGCUAAGCCUGCGUUUCUUGAGCUGAGGGAUGGAACAGAGGGUUAGAGAGGCAGUGGCCGUCUCCACCUCAGCUCCUGCUCCCUCUGCAUUGGAGCCCUUCCUUCCUUGGGGGAUGGGCUUUUGCCCUCUUCUCUUUUCCCUUCCUGUACCUUUGACUAACCCCUCAGCUUCCGGGCCUGCAUGUAGUAGACAGAAGAGGAAGAAAGAACACUGACAUUCACAGCUGAAUAAGUGAACAGGAUAGCAGUCCCUGGAUGGCAGUCUGCCUCAAGAUUCCUUUUCCUGGCUUCUCCCAUACAUUCCAAAAGGAAGUUCAACAGUCAGCAGCACCUCCAAGAGUAUCUCCCUCGGGCCAAUAUCAUAAGAUGGGCGCCGUAAUCCUGAGGCCUCCUAGAGGCUGAGGGCAGCAGUAUGCUCCAGCUGGCUCUCCCCAGCCCAGGUGGGCCAAUUAUUCAAUUUUUAAGAAUUUCGUUGGAAGCCAGUUGUUAAACACAGCCAUUAUAAUUAUGUAAAUGUGCAAAUUAGGUUCAAAACAAGGACAAUAAAUAUUCAAAACUCAAAAAAAAAUCAAAAUGAACUAAAAUUAGUUUCUUUUUGAGAGUUUUUAUAGCAAGAAAUAACAGUUGUGUCUAAAAAUAGUGUUUAUAUUAUUGAUGUAAUACUUUCAUCAUAAUAAAGAAUAUUCAUAAACAUGAGUGUGGGUAAUAAAAA